rnacentral:rRNA from 1 species
UACAGAGGGGGCGAGCGUUGUUCGGAAUUACUGGGCGUAAAGGGCGCGUAGGCGGCCCGCUAAGUCGGACGUGAAAUCCCCAGGCUCAACCUGGGAACUGCGUCCGAUACUGGCAGGCUUGAAUCCGGGAGAGGGAUGUGGAAUUCCAGGUGUAGCGGUGAAAUGCGUAGAUAUCUGGAGGAACACCGGUGGCGAAGGCGGCAUCCUGGACCGGUAUUGACGCUGAGGCGCGAAAGCUAGGGGAGCAAACAGG